GACGAACGCUGGCGGCGUGCUUAACACAUGCAAGUCGAACGGAAAGGCCCUGCUUUUGUGGGGUGCUCGAGUGGCGAACGGGUGAGUAACACGUGAGUAACCUGCCCUAGUCUUUGGGAUAACUUCAGGAAACUGGGGCUAAUCCCGGAUAGGAGCCCCUGCUGCAUGGUGGGGGUUGGAAAGUUUCGGCGGUUGGGGAUGGACUCGCGGCUUAUGAGCUUGUUGGUGGGGUAGUGGCUUACCAAGGCUUUGACGGGUAGCCGGCCUGAGAGGGUGACCGGCCACAUUGGGACUGAGAUACGGCCCAGACGCGUACGGGAGGCAGCGGUGGGGAAUAUUGCACAAUGGGCGGAAGCCUGAUGCAGCGACGCCGCGUGCGGGAUGACGGCCUUCGGGUUGUGAACCGCUUUAGCCUGUGACGAAGCGUGAGUGACGGUAAUGGGUAAAGAAGCACCGGCUAACUACGUG
rnacentral:rRNA from 1 species